AGGACUUUAUCUUAAUUUAAAGAGCUUGAUUUGCAUUUAAGAGAUGUAGGUUAGUAUCCUGCAAGUCC
rnacentral:tRNA from 1 species